GGUUGAGGCAAAAGCAGAUAGCCUAAAAUGGGGAUGACAGGGUGGGAAGGAAGGGAGGAGAGUUUUUCUAAAGGGGUUAAAGGUUCAGAAUGGAGGAAUCAGGAAGGGAAAUAUAGCACAGAAAUUUAUCUGUCAAAGUCACUAAUAGAGGUGCUUUCACGUUUCUUUCUCCUUUGAAGUGUGGAAACUGAAAUGGCCCAAUAGAAUUCCAGACCUGGUGAGGAGUGACUGCCACAGAAGCGAGCCAGAACUCAUCUCCAGAGUGCCAGUUCCCUCCAACCCAGGGCAACAGGCUCCUGCCUGCAUUCAUCCUCCAGCUAUUGGGUCUGAGCUGCCACUUUGCAUCUCUUUCAGCUUAAUCCAGCUUCAGAACUGUUGUGGGACAAUUGGGGGUCAUAAGGUGUUUGGACCCCAUGACCCUCUACCUUCCUAGCUUUGGUUGUGCUUGUAGGACCACUCACACUGCAUGGAAAACAGCAGCCUCUACAACCAGGAAGGACUUCAUACCAAUCACGGCUGCUCAUCACCUUGGUCACUUUAACCCUCCAACUUACUCUGCGACUGCCUUUUGGACAAAACAGGAAGACCUGUGUAAAUCCUCUGUAAAAUGGAGGUGGGUGAAAGGAGAUAAAGAGGACUAAUUGGGGAACAAUUUUGAGACAGGAAUAGAGGACAUGAGAGGUGGUGUAGAAUACGGAGUAGAGUCUGUCCUGAGGAACUUCCUGUCAACAAAGUAACAUGAAAGAGAUGUGUGUGCUGACCUGUGACAGGGGCCGUGCACAGUCUACAGCAGGAACAAAUCUCCCCCGAAGUGCAGAGUGGGAGGGAGCUAGGAAUAGCCAGCAAUGAGGAGGAGAGGGCCUGCUCUGAUGGUUCCUAGCAUGUGUCAAGGCACACAAGUAGGAUGUUGUCUUGGAAAUAACAUCCUGUUCUUUCCUACAGAGCUGGGGUAUAGCAGGAGAAAAGUGCAGCACUAUUGGUCAGUGGAGUCCCAUCCUCCUCAGCACUGAGCCACAACACUGGACUUCUCUAUGACCAAUGCCCACAAUUGGGGUCAGACUUACAAGGAAACCUUGAUCAUCAUGGAUCUCUUGAUGACAGCCCCUGGUGCAGUGUGAAGCACUGGUUGAGGUGUAGUGUCUGAACUGUUUUCCAGGACACCUUCCAGGUUCAGGGAUUGAACUGAAGGUACUGUCAUCCAGGAUGGACUACAAACAGCAGCAAAGUCCAAAUCUAACCUUUAGAAUAGAAGUCUAUGUCCACCAGUGAACAGAUACCUGGAGGAUCCCCACUGCAGUCCAGUCACAAAUCCCAUGACCUCAAUGUGACCAACCAGGAGCAUCCAGAUUGGCUACCUGGUCUAAUUGAUUGAGUUCUUUCUAUUUGAGCCUUGAGAUCACAGCUGAGGACUCAAGUGAUGAGCUCUCUACAUCAGGAGACACAGGGUGGCAACUUACAAGUUUGGCCUGAGACAGCAGAAGUUGGAGCUCUGCAGGAAGUCCAGAUGGCAGUGUGCCCACUUCCCCAGCAUGAAGGGUCUGUGUCCAGCACAGGAGGAGGAAAGUGACAGCAAGCUGGAGAAAAAUGGGUACCACUUUGGAUGGAAUGCUGGGACAUUGCUCCACUUUGGAAGUGCCUUGCCAUAUCCUGAAUAAUGGACCCUGAGAAUUCCUGACUUGCAUGUGUGCACACUGAGCAUUGGUGACAUGGAGGGAAAAGAGCACCUCUCCCCUCCCCUUCCUGGCAGACUAGCAUGCCAUUGUCUGAGCUCCAUAGGAACUCAGAGGCUCCACGCAGCAACAGGAGGACAUGCUGUGGAGGACGAUGACAUGGUUUCUCUGCCUCCAUCCAACUACAGACAACCGCCCCAAAUUACCAACAAAACCUGGGGAAUCUACAGGAACAUCCCCUUGUGGAAGCCUCCCAAUAACAAAGAAAAUCUGCCUGAGCAGGUAAAGAAAUAUUUCAGAAGAGCCUUGGGAAUUAAAUGUGCUUCUCUUUCUGAACCCUAGAGUGGAUCUCCUGAGAAGGGCAGUACCCAUGAACCACCUGUCACAGGCCUCCACUAACAUGAUGAGGUAGAACUUGAGGUCAUACAUUUGGCCAAUUUCUCACUGGUAUUAGGCAGAGACAAUUUACAAAGAAAUACUCAAGUAUUUAUUUAGAAUUCUAACAUAAUUUCUAUAAAUUGGCAUUCAGAAUGCUUUGACCACUGGAGGAGAGAAAUCCAAAGCUAAUGAGUUCUCCGGCUCCACCAGUUGUUAUUCUAAAGGUGACAGAUGUUUGAACUUCAUCUAUAGAAUCAGCAAAAUCCAGUCUGAUGCCCAAACACAAGAUGUAACAAGCAAUGGGAUCUAAACCUAGAAGACAUGGCAGAGGACAGCAGAGAUCCCUCCAGACUCUGAUCUUCUCCCCGGACUUUGCACAAAGCCUCAGAGAUCCACAAAAGGCUACAGGGAAGUAAUGGAGACUGGAUACGUGGAACAGAACAAAUGCUCAGAAGCAGACUCAGCAAGAUCCUGCCAGCUGAUUUUCUCAUAGUCACCCAUGGAAAUCAAGGCAGAGAGAAUGGCUUGUCCACAAAUGAUUGCAGAAGAAGAUUUAAAAACAAGCAAUAAGGAACCAACUGAAAAACUGAACACAGUCAGCAUUUCUAUUGACCUCAAAUACAAACACUAUAAUGCUCACAUAAAGUGAUAGUAGAGGACUACAUACAUUCCUGCCUUCUAGAAAGGAAGAUCAGAAAUAACAUGGAAAAGAUGAACUGUGGACUCAGGAGCCCUGAUGCCACCAGCCAAGAAAAUACAGAAGCUGGAGCAUGGCAAGAGCAGGACACUCCCCCAGGACAUCUAGAGAGAACCUGGCCCCUGACACACCCCAGCAGACAACAAAUCCCUGACAGUGAACGUUGUGUGGCUAAGAGGAGGUGGAGGUGUAGUGUGUGUUGUGUGUUGUGAGGAGGCCUGAAACCUAUCCCAUUGUGUGGGAUGGAGAUGAGCUGUUCAGCUAAUCUGAUAACAGCACUGUAUGGAUGGUCCAGUCAGCUGGGGAAAGCAGCAGGGCUGACACCUAGAUACUCACAUGUGCUACCUAUGCCCCUCCCGUUAUUAACAACUUACAUGCAGUGUAAGUGUAAGGACAUGAAGGACUCCGCUCACCCAUACUCACCACAUAGUUCUCUAGGCAUUAGGCCUAGAUAUUCAACUCCCUUCUGCUGUCCCACAUGCAAUGCUAGAUUCUAGAACAUGCUAGACAUGCCUCCAACCACAAUGUACUAAGACAUGGGGAAAGGUAUCAGACACUGUUGCACACUUUACCUUCUGACAAGGACACACAGUUACUGCUUGGUUCAAACACUCCUGGAAUCUUCCUGUACUGACCUAGAAAACUAGGUAUAAAGCAGCAUGGGACACUACAGCCAGGCCACCUCACUUGAAGUACCAGCUGUCAGGCCAGAUACACAACCCCAAAAUCAUGUGCGCGCGCGCGCGCGCGCACACACACACACACACACACACACACACAUAUACACACACACCCUUUAAUAUACUUCUAUGUAUUGGGCCAUGCAUGUCUUCCUACCAAACCACACAUUGACUGCUAUGUAUCAGGCAUUGCUAAACAAACCCUCACACAUAUCUAACAUGUAUUCCUAGGUCUGGAUCUAGAUGUAACACACAAUCCUUUAUUAACAGCUACUUAUCAGGUCAUACAGGACACUCUCUUUCUACUGUACCCAAAUACUCUGCUAGUAUUGGUCCCCGGUUGACACCCUAAUAUCACUGAAAUUCCACAUACACUGCUAGGGUUCAUGCCCUCUUGAAUAUCACACCCAACCACUACAAUCUACAAUGUUAGUAUCAGGGCCCACUGGAUACCACAUUCCAUCAACCCAUACAUCCCUGUUGGAUAUCAGACCUGCUGGGCAUUCUAAACUCCAUGGCAACUCCUACCAGGGUAGCUGAAGGCCCUGGAAUUCACACAUCACCCUGCAGCUGCCUCACAUGCACUGCUAGGUGUCAGGCUCUGCUGGCUCCCUCAAUGCCUCACACACACUUGGAAGUGUCAAGCACACUCAGACAUCAUAUGCACACUGCCAAUGUACUUCAAAAUGUGAUCAGACCUUGACGGACACCAGCUCAGCCAUGAACUGACACACACUCAGUAGGGAUUGUGCAGGGCUUGACACCCAUUCUUCCACUCCUCCCCUCUGACAUACAGUUAUCAUCAAACACACUGGACACACCACCACCCCUGUGACCACACAUCUACUCUAGGUACCAGGUCCAGUUUGACCUCACACCCCACAUUAAUCGACAGCCAUCAGACCAUGCUGGGAACAUUCCCCCUGUCAGGUCUUGCACAAUACCUAGCAAUUAGCAUUGACAGGCCCCCUCCUUCUGCUGAAGACACAUCCACACUGCUAGGCAUCAGCUUCUACUGGACUCCUUCCUAUGCUAUACCAUGUGCUGGGUCUCAGGCUCUACUGCUGGUUACUGGGCCACACUGGACAUUGACCCCUUUCCAAACCACAGUGCAUAUAAAGUGCUGUGUGUCAGGUUCACUUGAGCACCAGGCUCCAUCACAUGGGACAUGCUAGGUACCAGACAAUGUUGACACACACACCCCGAUAUACACUAUUGGACCAGUGAACAUUGCAAUUUUAAAGGCUUUUCUAGACACCUCCAUUACUGACAUAUCAAGUUUCGUGCUAUCAGACACUACUACUCUGUGCAGAUUUCAGUCAUGUAUAUUGAAGUAUAUUGUAUGCAUAUACAAUAAUUGGCUUCAAGUCUUACCCAAAAUAGCACCAUUCUGUUGACAACAUACACUACCAGACAGGGUCAUGGGUCUAAGCACAGCUGAAUAUUAGCAGGGCUAUUGUGGCAGCAGGAUGGGUGAAGGAAGAGAAACUUAUUAGAUAAGGCCAUUAUCAUGCACAAUAUCCGGGUUAGGACUGGGGAGCCCUGAGGAUGUGAUACACAGUAGGGCAUCCAGGCCUCAGGCAGGUGUGCAGCAAAGCCUGAAACCAAGCAGUGUGUUUCAGGCUAUAGUGGCAGGGGUAGGAGUGUCCAGCCGGGCCUGGUAACUAGUUGGUGGGUUUGGCAGGAGGACUGGGGGGCAGUAGCUAGCAAGGCCGGUUGUGUGGGCAGCCCCUGAUAGUGGGAUGAGUCUCUGUGGGAGAAGCAGGAAGAUGCUCUACAGUAUGUCUUAUGAACACAACAGUGUAUGUUGGGUGGCAUCAGUUGGGAGCUGUAUAGAUUCCUUAGGACAUGACACCUAGCAGUCUAUGUAGGAUACCAGGGUUUUUUUCAGCCUUGUCUGUUCAAUAGUACUGUAUGUGGAACAGUGCUAAAGAUGAUGAUGAUAUAAGGACAAGUGUGUGUGGGGGGGGUGCACGUGCAUGUACACGUGUGUUUGAAUUUGUGAGUGGUCAGAGAGUGUGCUGCAUUGUCAUGGGGAUAGCUGUCUUAGAGAAAAUGAGUCAGUGACUAGGCAAAUAGAAACCCAGGGUCAGUAUAUUAUUAAUGAAAUUGAUCUGAGAAUGUAUAUUCAAGACAUGGACUUGAGAGAUUUUGAAGAGUAAGGGUAGAAAACAAGAAAUGUGAGGCUUGAUGAAUACAGGCCUGGGGGAGGAAUUUGACUUUAUUUUUACUGUACCAAGAAGCCAAGUUUUCUCUUUGCCAACAACACUAGGUAUCACCAUUUGUAAGGUGUCCCCACACUUAAAACCCACCCCCACAUUGCUAGGAGUCAGCGUCUACUCUGAAAAAUGUCUUCUACAGCAGGUGCCAAACACACAUGCCUAGCCGUGAGGUCCGGUAGGUCAAUGGUCCAUUAAAGAAAAUGUUCCUCUCAUACAGUUGGGUAGCUUGUCCUCCACAAGAUCAACAAUACCAUGGCUAAAACCCCAUGCAUAGGGCUGGGUAUCUGGUAUUUCUAAGGAUCCCCUUACCUACAGCAGCAGAAGCCAUAAACAGACGCCCACAUACUAUGACACAAGUGUCAGGGGCCAGUAUUUAUCUCUUCCCAUAUGACCACAUAUAUAUACGUGGUUAGGUCACAUUCCUGAUAGGAAUUGCCUAAGCUACAUCAGUGCAACACACCCAGAACUAGGCGUCAGAUCCUGCUGGACACCUCUUCCCCUACAUCCAAAGGACCAUACAGUUACUCAGCUAGAUUUCUAGUACUGGUACCCCUCCCCUAUAGUCAAAUGCCUUGUACAAAGCCACACACUCAAUCACACUCAGAUACACAUGCUUGUAUGAUCCCAUGCACGUGCUCAUGCACUUUCAUCUAGCUGUCAUGUCAACAAGGUCUCCCCCAUUCAGCCAAAUCCCUAUUUACACACAGCUGACAAAGUGCUGCCCUUCUGGGUGUCCAUCCCCUGCAGCCAAACACAUAAACAGAGACAGACAGAGACAGAGACAAAGAGACAGACAGAGAGACACAGAGUCUGAGGUCAGGUCCUGCUGUUCCCACUCCAUAACAGACAAAGCUGUCUACUCAGGGCUAGGUGUCAGGUCCCGAUACCUACCUCUUUUUCUAUAUUCAUAGUGCAAUAUUCUUACACAGCUACUUUACCAAUAUGCACCCCCUCCCCUAUAAUCAAAUGCUAGGUACACACUCACACACUCAGAAACACACUCAGGCAUGCAUGCUCCUAUAAAUUUCUUCAGGAAUUCAUUACACUCUCAGCUAGCUAUCAGGUCCUAGAAGAUAGCCACCAUACAAGGAAAGCCCCACAUAUACUUCUAGGUAUGAAGUCCUGUGAGGUAGAGGAAUCACCCAUACA